rnacentral:tRNA from 1 species
GGGGAUUUAGCUCAGUGGUAGAGCGCUUGCCUAGCAAGCGCAAGGCCCUGGGUUCGGUUCCCAGUUCCG